rnacentral:rRNA from 1 species
GACGUAGGAGGCGAGCGUUAUCCGGAUUCACUGGGCGUAAAGCGCAUGUAGGCGGUUUGAUCCGUCCGAUGUUAAAGCCCCCGGCUCAACUGGGGGAGGUCAUUGGAGACUAUCAGACUUGAGGGCAACAGAGGCACGUGGAACUCCCGGUGUAGCGGUGGAAUGCGUAGAGAUCGGGAAGAACACCCGUGGCGAAGGCGACGUGCUGGGUUGCGACUGACGCUGAGAUGCGAAAGUGUGGGGAGCAAAC